GACGAACGCUGGCGGCGUGCUUAACACAUGCAAGUCGAACGGAAAGGCCCUGCUUUUGUGGGGUGCUCGAGUGGCGAACGGGUGAGUAACACGUGAGUAACCUGCCCUUGACUUUGGGAUAACUUCAGGAAACUGGGGCUAAUCCCGUAUAGGAGCUCCUGCUGCAUGGAGGGGGUUGGAAAGUUUCGGCGGUUGGGGCUGGACUCGCGGCUUAUCAGCUUGUUGGUGGGGUAGGGGCUUACCAAGGCUUUGACGGGUAGCCGGCCUGGGAGGGUGACCGGCCACAUUGGGACUGAGAUACGGCCCAGACUCCUACGGGAGGCAGCAGUGGGGAAUAUUGCACAAUGGGCGGAAGCCUGAUGCAGCAACGCCGCGUGCGGGAUGACGGCCUUCGGGUUGUAAACCGCUUUCGCCUGUGACGAAGCGUGAGUGACGGUAAUGGGUAAAGAAGCACCGGCUAACUACGUG
rnacentral:rRNA from 1 species